GAAUGGGGAAACCCAGUGUGACUCGUCACACUAUCAUUAACUGAAUCCAUAGGUUAAUGAGGCGAACCGGGGGAACUGAAACAUCUAAGUACCCCGAGGAAAAGAAAUCAACCGAGAUUCCCCCAGUAGCGGCGAGCGAACGGGGAGGAGCCCAGAGCCUGAAUCAGCAUGUGUGUUAGUGGAAGCGUCUGGAAAGGCGCGCGAUACAGGGUGACAGCCCCGUACACAAAAGCGCAUGUGCUGUGAGCUCGAUGAGUAGGGCGGGACACGUGGUAUCCUGUCUGAAUAUGGGGGGACCAUCCUCCAAGGCUAAAUACUCCUGACUGACCGAUAGUGAACCAGUACCGUGAGGGAAAGGCGAAAAGAACCCCGGCGAGGGGAGUGAAAAAGAACCUGAAACCGUGUACGUACAAGCAGUGGGAGCACCCUUUUGGGUGUGACUGCGUACCUUUUGUAUAAUGGGUCAGCGACUUAUAUUCUGUAGCAAGGUUAACCGAAUAGGGGAGCCGAGGGAAACCGAGUCUUAAUUGGGCGUUAAGUUGCAGGGUAUAGACCCGAAACCCGGUGAUCUAGCCAUGGGCAGGUUGAAGGUUGGGUAACACUAACUGGAGGACCGAACCGACUAAUGUUGAAAAAUUAGCGGAUGACCUGUGGCUGGGGGUGAAAGGCCAAUCAAACCGGGAGAUAGCUGGUUCUCCCCGAAAGCUAUUUAGGUAGCGCCUCGUGAAUUCAUCUCCGGGGGUAGAGCACUGUUUCGGCUAGGGGGCCAUCCCGGCUUACCAACCCGAUGCAAACUGCGAAUACCGGAGAAUGUUAUCACGGGAGACACACGGCGGGUGCUAACGUCCGUCGUGAAGAGGGAAACAACCCAGACCGCCAGCUAAGGUCCCAAAGUCAUGGUUAAGUGGGAAACGAUGUGGGAAGGCCCAGACAGCCAGGAUGUUGGCUUAGAAGCAGCCAUCAUUUAAAGAAAGCGUAAUAGCUCACUGGUCGAGUCGGCCUGCGCGGAAGAUGUAACGGGGCUAAACCAUGCACCGAAGCUGCGGCAGCGACACUAUGUGUUGUUGGGUAGGGGAGCGUUCUGUAAGCCUGUGAAGGUGUGCUGUGAGGCA
rnacentral:rRNA from 1 species